GUAGGUGGCAAGCGUUGUCCGGAAUUAUUGGGCGUAAAGCGCGCGCAGGCGGGCCUUUAAGUCUGAUGUGAAAGCCCACGGGCUCAACCGUGGAGGGUCAUUGGAAACUGGGGGACUUGAGUACAGAAGAGGAAAGCGGAAUUCCAAGUGUAGCGGUGAAAUGCGUAGAGAUUUGGAGGAACACCAGUGGCGAAGGCGGCUUUCUGGUCUGUAACUGACGCUGAGGCGCGAAAGCGUGGGGAGCAAACAGGAUUAGAUACCCUGGUAGUCCACGCCGUAAACGAUGAGCGCUAAGUGUUAGGGGGUUUCCGCCCCUUAGUGCUGCAGCUAACGCAUUAAGCACUCCGCCUGGGGAGUACGGCCGCAAAGGCUG
rnacentral:rRNA from 1 species